CUUUUGAUUUGUUUUUCAGUUUUGCUUUUAGUUUUCCUGUUUUUAUUUUAUGCACCAACUAGACACACAAAGCAGUUGAAUUUAUAUAUAUAUAUAUAUAUAUAUAUCUGUAUAUUGCACAAUUAUAAACUCAUUUUGCUUGUGGCGCCACACACACAAAAAAACCUUUAAAAUUAUACCUGUUGCUUAAUUACGAUAUUUCUGAUAACCAUAGAGUAGGACAAGGGAAAAAUUUUAAAAAGAAAAAAAAAGAAAAAAAACAUCUGUCUGCUGGUCAUUUCUUCAGUCCAAGCAGAUCUGUGAUCUUUCCUUGCUUCUUUCAAAGGCUUCCCUGUGCUAAGUGAAGGAAGCUCCAAGCUGCACCCAGGUUUUGUGCUUUGUUUCUACUCUGUUGUGAAAGGGGCCCCAAAAUUCUGGGUAUAGGACAGCUCAUUUCAGCAUGGGUUUGGGAGACAAGAACACUCCCUUUACAUGCUGAAGUCCAGAAUUUAGUAGGCAUAGCCUAAUCCCCACCUCUAGGGAUGGGGAGCUAGCAUGCAUGGAGGUGGCCCAACUCCCUCCCCCUUUCCCUGGCCAGGGAGAGCCUGUGUACAGUAAGUGUGGCAGGCUUUCCCUAGUUAGCAGGACUCAGAGCAUUUCAAAACCUUCAAGACUUUGCUGAAUCCAGGAACUAGAGAGGAGAUAGGAGACUUGAUCUGUCUCCAAACCCUGUAAGCUGUGCCAGGUAGAAUGCCAGGGGACUCUAGCAUCACAUCUAACAGCUCAAUGGGUCUCCUCCAGGAAGUAGUAAAGACUCCAGAAACAACCCUUUCUCUUCUCCCUGCUCCCAUGAGUAACUGCAUUUGCUUUUGUAAUUCUUAAUGAGCAAUAUCUGCUAGAAAGUUUAGCUGUAACAGUUCUUUUUGCAAAAGAAUCAUUCUUAAAUAAUUAAAAGCACCCCCCCCCAAAAAAAGUCCAGAACCUUCCAAAGCAGAGAGCAUUAUAAUCACCAGAGCCAAAAUCUGUCCCACACCUCUACCACGUCCCCUCAUUAUUGCUUCUUCUGAGGCCAGAACACAGCAGAGAUAUUUGUAGGCCCUUUGGGUGGCUGAGCUACCCUUGGAGCUCUUGAAAGAUGAGCUGGGGAAGCCUCUGAGACCCUAUCCUAGGGUCUUGUUCUAGAGAGUAAUCAGUAUUAGUAGAGCAUCACAACAUUAUUCCCCAGCCUGCAUGGGAUGGGAGCAGAAGAGGCCAAAGGGUUGUCGUCAACGGCUACUUGGCCACUGACAGGUAGGUGACCAUGUAUGUCCAAGCAUGCUUUAUGGAUUAUGUGUGAUCAGCACCCAAGUUAGCUUCAUCUGGUGACCUCUAACCCUGCCUGGAUGGAGCAGGCUACCUGGUUCAAGGUUUCUGGGCAGCUGGACAAUGGAGUGCAAAAGGCUUGCAGAACUUGAAGCCUUUUCCUUACCUUGCUAGCACGUUUCCAUUUGAUUUGUCACUGCUUCAAUCAAUAACAGACGCUCCAGAGUCAGUAGUUGAUGAAUAUAUGACCAAAUAUCACCAGGACUGUUACUCAAUGUGUGCCGAGCCCUUGUGCUGGGCUCCCUGUGUACCUGGACACUG
rnacentral:lncRNA from 1 species